ACAUGGCUCCUUGUUUUCUUACAUGGGGAGUCGGACCUGCUCGGUGAAUAUAUUUUAACAGCCGCGGUACUCUGACCGUGCAAAGGUAGCAUAAUCAUUUGCCUUAUAAUUGAAGGCUAGUAUGAAUGGUUUGACGAGAAUUAAGCUGUCUCUUUUUAACUAAAUAUAACUUUAUUAAGAGGUGAAGAAGCCUGUAUUUUAUUGAAAGACAAGAAGACCCUAUCGAGCUUUAAAGAAUUUAGUAGAUUUACCAUAUAUUAAUAAAAAAGUAAAGCAACUAAAUAUUUUGGUUGGGGCGACUGAGGAACAAACAAAGCUUCCUUUAUGCUAAUUAAAACUUACAAGUAUUGAUCCAAUUUAUUUGAUUAAAGAAAUUAGUUACCGUAGGGAUAACAGCAUAAUCUCCUUUGAGAGUUCUCAUCGAAAAGGGGGUUUGUGACCUCGAUGUUGGACCAGAAUACCCAGAAGAUGCAGCCGUCUUCAAUGGUUGGUCUGUUCGACCAUUAAAAUUCUACAUGA
rnacentral:rRNA from 1 species